rnacentral:rRNA from 1 species
GUGGGGAAUCUUGCGCAAUGGGCGAAAGCCUGACGCAGCCAUGCCGCGUGAAUGAUGAAGGUCUUAGGAUUGUAAAAUUCUUUCACCGGGGACGAUAAUGACGGUACCCGGAGAAGAAGCCCCGGCUAACUUCGUGCCAGCAGCCGCGGUAAUACGAAGGGGGCUAGCGUUGCUCGGAAUUACUGGGCGUAAAGGGCGCGUAGGCGGACAGCUUAGUCAGAGGUGAAAGCCCAGGGCUCAACCUUGGAAUUGCCUUUGAUACUGGCUGGCUUGAGUUUGGGAGAGGUGAGUGGAACUCCGAGUGUAGAGGUGAAAUUCGUAGAUAUUCGGAAGAACACCAGUGGCGAAGGCGACUCACUGGCCCAAUACUGACGCUGAGGCGCGAAAGCGUGGGGAGCAAACAGGAUUAGAAACCCCGGUAGUCC